UGACCGCUGGUCUGAAACUGAUUGUUCCUCGGCUGCUUAUGGCUAUCUCCCGCUCUUCCGGAGUCAGCCGACUCUUCGCAUGGGCGUAACUGCCGAAAACAUUCACUGAGUUGAAUCUGUUCAAAACGGCCAAUAUGUUCAAAUGCAUGGCCAUUAGAAUGAGGUUUGUGCAGUUGACGUCACAGGUCACAUGUCAGAAGUACAACAAACUUCAAGUACUUUAUAGGCUUAUGAUACGAGGAAAAAAGAUGCCUAAUUUCUGUUGUGCAUUCGGUUGCAGCAAUAAUAGUGCAAAUACGAUGUGUAGAGAGAAAAAUAUUUCAUCUUUUCCCACAUGGUAAGCC
rnacentral:lncRNA from 1 species